rnacentral:rRNA from 1 species
CAAAAUAUAUGUUAAGUGGAAAAGGAUGUGGCGUUGCCCAGACAACUAGGAUGUUGGCUUAGAAGCAGCCAUCAUUUAAAGAGUGCGUAAUAGCUCACUAGUCGAGUGACACUGCGCCGAAAAUAUACCGGGGCUAAACAUAUUACCGAAGCUGUGGAUUGUCCUUUGGACAAUGGUAGGAGAGCGUUCUAAGGGCGUUGAAGCAUGAUCGUAAGGACAUGUGGAGCGCUUAGAAGUGAGAAUGCCGGUGUGAGUAGCGAAAGACGGGUGAGAAUCCCGUCCACCGAUUGACUAAGGUUUCCAGAGGAAGGCUCGUCCGCUCUGGGUUAGUCGGGUCUUAAGCUGAGGCCGACAGGCGUAGGCGAUGGAUAACAGGUUGAUAUUCCUGUACCACCUAUAAUCGUUUUAAUCGAUGGGGGGACGCAGUAGGAUAGGCGAAGCGUGCGAUUGGAUUGCACGUCU